AAGGGCAAUAUAUUUCCUCUCCCGGCAGCAAGUGAGAAGGCCGGUCUCAAGGGGCUUCCGCCCCUCUCGUUGCGUGGAGCGAGGAGUGGCGCCGAGCUGCCUCUGCCUCUCGGCAGUGCUGCGGGAGGUCGCCGGGGGGCGGUGGAGGUGCGGCCGUGCCACAGCUCUUCAGCGAGCCGCGGGCCUGGUGCGGGGUCCCCAAGCCAGCGGGUUCAGCGGCUGAGGCACCGUGAGUGCCGCGGGCGGGGAGCGCAGGGCUCGGCCCCGGGAGCCCGGCCUCUGGCGGUGGGUGUCCGCUCCCGUGAGGUGAGGGCGGGCCUGGCUGCACCUCCCGUCCGCGUCAGGCUCGGAGAGGGAGAGCUGGGGCUUCGGCCCUGUCCUAGCUUAAUCCUGCCCCGGGUUAAGGUGCUAUUUGUGCCGGCCUGUGGGAAGUUAGUUUUAGGGAUGCGGGGCGCCUCGGCCAGGUAGAGCUUGAAGUGGUGUUAGGUAGCGGCUGUGUUUGCCUCAGCUGAGCAGCAGCGUGCUGGGGCCUCGGACCUGGUUCUCUGGUACCUCGCUGUUGGUAACAGUCUCUUUGUCUCCAUGGCUCUGCUUUGUCUCCAUGGCUCAUGGCUGCCGUGAGAGCGGUCCCGGGUGAUGCCUGGCUGAGUUGGUACGGGUGGUGGAGUUUCCCCGUGGUUUGGAUAUGUAUGUAGGAAGGCCUGGCACUAGUCCUUACCAGCCUGCUGUGAGCACUGGGAUGUGUCUUUCCAAAUCAAGAGCAAGCCACUGUUGAAAGGAAGGCUGAGCAACAAUGCUACAGUAUUUAAAAACAUCCGUCUUCAGGGGAGGGGGAACCCUUUGGAAGGACGUUAUCGAUCUUAGAAGCAACUGACGCAUCGACAGCUCUGUUGAGGCAGAAUCUGAGCAAGCAAUGAAAAACAGUGGAUUAGACAGACACAGAAGAUUACACUUCCACCUGUUCUGAUUCAGGGCAUGUGAGAAGAAAAAUUAAUCAUUUAGCCAUCAAAACCACUCAGCAGUACUUGAAUCAGGUGCACAAGGACAGCAUAAAACUAACUGAAAGGAUAUUGGCUUUGGAAGAACAACCUCUUCAGAAGCUCUCUAAAAUGCCAUCUACCUGCUCUAGACAGUUUCAUCAUGAACACAGAAAUCUCAAAGGCUGUCCCAGGUUCAAGGAAGAUUAAUUUAAAGCUAAUUGAUCAAUUUAAUCACUUUUAAUUCAAGGAGAUCCUAGAAUGUGCAGUUGGGACUCCUAGGAACACUUUCAGUUAUUUAAAAUGUGUAACACCUUUUUUAAAGGUGGAGGGCUUGCAUCAAAUUUGGCUGUGAAGUGCUGUGCACAGUGUUUGAUACUACAGACAUUCUGGGAUGGUUUACUUGUGGCCUUCUGUGCUUUUUCCAGGGGCAAAAUGUGAGCAAGUUUGGUGAAUCAGGGUCUGAUGUAACAGGAAUUCAUGCAGAUUGUACUUCGGACUUACAAGAGCCAUAGCAGCAGCCUGUAAGGAAAGCUUGAUGGUUGACCCUUGCUGUAUAUUCCACUGUGGCAGAAGAAAAUAGCAAGUGAGAGAAGAACAGAUGAAGUUCAUUUCAGACAAGUAUUGUUACGUGAGGGUUGCAUUGUGACCUCUCCUUGUAAGUAUGCUGAAGAACAAAGAAUCCCCAUCCUAAACUUUUUUUUUAAAACCAUGUCAAAAUGACACUAGCAGUGGCCAGAGCUCCUUUGAGAGUAUGGGACUGCUGUGGGGCUUGCUUGCUGCUCUAGCGUGCGAAGAGACCAGUGGUGGUUGUGAUUCUAAGCGUAUGUGAUGUCAAAAUAAACAGGUCACUUAACUC